UCUUCCCCUGCCUUAUGGAGUUUGACUUUGUUGUGAUGGUGCGUACUUUGUCAAACUGCAUCAUGAGAUGACCAGUUAGAAUCAGAGUGGUUUAUCAUGUUUGCUUUGUGUUUCCUGUAGAUCUGUCUUCAUCUGAGAGAGUAAACUACUCUACAUGCCCCCUACCUUCGCUGUGCGUCCAACUUCCAAGCAGUCCUGGAGCAUCACUUUGUUGUCUAAAGAUGUAGCAAGAGGUCUAGAAAAAAGCACAUUCACCUGGAGGUUUCCCCAAAAGUACCGUGCUCUGUUGGCAGGGCUGACUUUAACAGCAUCAAUCAGAAUUGGAUUACACUGAAAAACACCCAAAUAAUGAACAGCAGGUCUAAAUGUAGUCUAUAUUCCGUGACAUCAAGCUAAGAGAACACUGUGGUCAUUUAUUUAAAUAUAAUGACCUCAAGGAAUCUGCAGAUGUCUGAUUUGUCGUUGGCACUCAUGAAAACCACAUUUUCAAACAACCAGAAGAACGGACGGUCGUCGCCCUCCUUUGGCUUCAGCAAGGUCAGUAUGCGGUAGAACUCAAAGAAAAGCCUUCCAGUGCCCUC